AUUAUGGAGAGUUUGAUCCUGGCUCAGGAUGAACGCUGGCGGCGUGCCUAAUACAUGCAAGUCGAGCGAACAGACGAGGAGCUUGCUCCUCUGACGUUAGCGGCGGACGGGUGAGUAACACGUGGGUAACCUACCUAUAAGACUGGGAUAACUCCGGGAAACCGGGGCUAAUACCGGAUAACACAUGAAACCGCAUGGUUUCAUGAUGAAAGACGGUUUUGCUGUCACUUAUAGAUGGACCCGCGGCGUAUUAGCUAGUUGGUAAGGUAACGGCUUACCAAGGCAACGAUACGUAGCCGACCUGAGAGGGUGAUCGGCCACACUGGAACUGAGACACGGUCCAGACUCCUACGGGAGGCAGCAGUAGGGAAUCUUCCGCAAUGGGCGAAAGCCUGACGGAGCAACGCCGCGUGAGUGAUGAAGGUCUUCGGAUCGUAAAACUCUGUUAUUAGGGAAGAACAAGGAUGUAAGUAACUAUGCAUCCCUUGACGGUACCUAAUCAGAAAGCCACGGCUAACUACGUGCCAGCAGCCGCGGUAAUACGUAGGUGGCAAGCGUUAUCCGGAAUUAUUGGGCGUAAAGCGCGCGUAGGCGGUUUUUUAAGUCUGA
rnacentral:rRNA from 1 species